rnacentral:rRNA from 1 species
AGCCCAGAGCCUGAAUCAGUGUGUGUGUUAGUGGAAGCGUCUGGAAAGGCGCGCGAUACAGGGUGACAGCCCCGUACACAAAAAUGCACAUAUUGUGAGCUCGAUGAGUAGGGCGGGACACGUGGUAUCCUGUCUGAAUAUGGGGGGACCAUCCUCCAAGGCUAAAUACUCCUGACUGACCGAUAGUGAACCAGUACCGUGAGGGAAAGGCGAAAAGAACCCCGGCGAGGGGAGUGAAAAAGAACCUGAAACCGUGUACGUACAAGCAGUGGGAGCCUCUUUUAUGGGGUGACUGCGUACCUUUUGUAUAAUGGGUCAGCGACUUAUAUUCUGUAGCAAGGUUAACCGAAUAGGGGAGCCGAAGGGAAACCGAGUCUUAACUGGGCGUUAAGUUGCAGGGUAUAGACCCGAAACCCGGUGAUCUAGCCAUGGGCAGGUUGAAGGUUGGGUAACACUAACUGGAGGACCGAACCGACUAAUGUUGAAAAAUUAGCGGAUGACUUGUGGCUGGGGGUGAAAGGCCAAUCAAACCGGGAGAUAGCUGGUUCUCCCCGAAAGCUAUUUAGGUAGCGCCUCGUGAAUUCAUCUCCGGGGGUAGAGCACUGUUUCGGCAAGGGGGUCAUCCCGACUUACCAACCCGAUGCAAACUGCGAAUACCGGAGAAUGUUAUCACGGGAGACACACGGCGGGUGCUAACGUCCGUCGUGAAGAGGGAAACAACCCAGACCGCCAGCUAAGGUCCCAAAGUCAUGGUUAAGUGGGAAACGAUGUGGGAAGGCCCAGACAGCCAGGAUGUUGGCUUAGAAGCAGCCAUCAUUUAAAGAAAGCGUAAUAGCUCACUGGUCGAGUCGGCCUGCGCGGAAGAUGUAACGGGGCUAAACCAUGCACCGAAGCUGCGGCAGCGACACUAUGUGUUGUUGGGUAGGGGAGCGUUCUGUAAGCCUGUGAAGGUGUGCUGUGAGGCAUGCUGGAGGUAUCAGAAGUGCGAAUGCUGACAUAAGUAACGAUAAAGCGGGUGAAAAGCCCGCUCGCCGGAAGACCAAGGGUUCCUGUCCAACGUUAAUCGGGGCAGGGUGAGUCGACCCCUAAGGCGAGGCCGAAAGGCGUAGUCGAUGGGAAACAGGUUAAUAUUCCUGUACUUGGUGUUACUGCGAAGGGGGGACGGAGAAGGCUAUGUUGGCCGGGCGACGGUUGUCCCGGUUUAAGCGUGUAGGCUGG